rnacentral:rRNA from 1 species
UACAGAGGGUGCAAGCGUUGUUCGGAAUUAUUGGGCGUAAAGCGCGUGUAGGCGGCUUUGCAAGUCGGGUGUGAAAGCCCUCAGCUCAACUGAGGAAGUGCGCCCGAAACUGCAUGGCUUGAAUACCGGAGAGGAUGGCGGAAUUCCCCAAGUAGAGGUGAAAUUCGUAGAUAUGGGGAGGAACACCGGUGGCGAAGGCGGCAUCCUGGACCGGUAUUGACGCUGAGGCGCGAAAGCCAGGGGGGCAAACGGG